rnacentral:lncRNA from 1 species
UCAGAGUUGGGCACAGCACUCCAAAAGGAAGAUUUUUUUAUUAAAAUGUUUUACUUGCACUAGCACCUGCGGAGGGAAUCCACUGCUGACGUAAAGAGAGACCAUCGAAAAGAAAGGAACUUUCUACAACUGUUUUUGUGAUUUAGCAUUUUACUGACAACUUUCAAAUUCAGAAUAGUUUGACCAAGUCCACAACUGGCUGAGCUGCAGAGAUUAGAAAAGAAGAAAGACCUACACAAUUGUACAUUCUUUUUUCCCAGUCAAACUUUGGUAAAGUUUCAGCUGCCGCUAGGAAGCUGUGUUUUCCAUCUGGAAGCUCUGCAGGUGAGAUAAGUUUCUGAGGGCACAACAAUCCUGCCUUCCUGUGAGCUAGGGAGGAAUGUAGAUCCGUGUUGGAGUGCAAAGUCCAUUCCUAUGGAGUGUAACACACCUGCCUGAGGUAUUCCGUUCGCAGCUAAACCUGCAGACGUGGCCCCUUUCCUGCUCUCAGAGAGCGUAUUUGAGUAAGGUUAAUGCUCAGAUAAGCAGACAUUUCCUCUUAUACAUAUUUGCUUUCUGUGGGGUGUGUGGCACUGCAUUUCCUUUAAAACAGCGGUCUCAAAACUCCCUCUUCUUUGGAUCACUCUAAGCUCACUCGACAGCACUGCUCAGAGACUACUUUGACUCAGAAUAAGAGUUUUUCAGAUUCCAUGCAAAAUCUUUAUUCCGCUGAGUAUUUUACAUAUCUGAAGUACAUGCCCGGGGAGGAGAGGGGAAGCUCUCACUUCUGGCAUGUGAAAAUGUGUGGCUUUGCUGAGGGCAGCGAGAGUGCUUGAAAUCACUUUGCAGCCCUGUAACAUUCAGAAGUGUCCCGCAGUUUCUGGCUAACCAGAGCUGUGCUUUGUCCUGGCCUGAAUAUUGCACAGCUGCCAGCUGGAAAUCUCCUCCCGAUACAGCUCUUCAGCGGCUCACCAGGUCCCAGCUGGCAGUGCCUAAUUGCAAUCAGCAGGUGAGAAAGGCAGCAUCUUGGCAGCUGAAUUGGCUCCAGCUCUGGGACACCUUUUGGGAAAUGGAGGGAACCUGGAAAAAGAAAGGGAGAAGACUUAAAACUGGACUUCUGUGAAAAGCAUUAACUGAGAAAGACAGCAAGACACAGGACAAAUCACACUUGCUUUUACUGGAAGUUAUAAUGGAACAAUUCAGAAUUAAGAGACAGGAAUCUUCGAGCGCUCACCUCUAGUGGCUUUGAGAUGCAAUCUAAUAUUGCUUGAUGACUUUGCAGCAUGGCUUUUCUUUGCAAGAUUGUGAGCAUCCUUUGUGAGCUCAGA